rnacentral:rRNA from 1 species
AAACUUAAAGGAAUUGACGGUGCUUUAUAUCCUUCUAGAGGAGCCUGUUCUAUAAUCGAUAAACCCCGAAUAAACCUCACCAAUUCUUGCUAAAUACAGUCUAUAUACCGCCAUCUUCAGACCAAAACCCUAAAAAGGAAAAAAGUAAGCGUAAUUAUGAUACAUAAAACGUUAGGUCAAGGUGUAACCUAUGAAAUGGGAAGAAAUGGGCUACAUUCUCUACACCAAGAGAAUCAAGCACGAAAGUUAUUAUGAAACCAAUAACCAAAGGAGGAUUUAGCAGUAAACUAAGAAUAGAGUGCUUAGUUGAAUUAGGCCAUGAAGCAC